ACGAGGCUCGGGUCGCUGUUUUGUGGGAUGAGUUAGUAUUUUAAACGGGUUGGUUUAGAAAAAGGGGGGGGGGGCAAAAUCAAGCUCCCCUAACUUCCACACUGAACGUUUGCAUCAGACUUCCUUCUGAUAAUAGCAGGUUCGUCCCACAUACUAGAGCUGACAAACGCCAUAUUCACGCCAAGGAAUUUUGAAAGCAAAUAUGUCACAUCAAUGAUGAUGAUGACGACGACGAUGGUCAGAAAAUGAUUAAGAAAGAACACCCUGGCAGCCUUUGUUGCUAGAAUCUGCUCAUGGGCAAAUGGCAAAGCUAUUCACAUGGAAGACAUUAAACCAUCAAUUCCAGUCCCAGGAAGCUGGGUCCACAUUGCCAGCAACAAGGCAAAGUAAACCCGGAGAGGCAGCGAUCACCUUCCUGGAGCUGUAGAAGUUGUCUGUGGCCUUGAUAAGACUGGUGGAGACCUACUGGCGAAGCAAAAGCUCCAAUCUGCUAACGGCUCUGAACCUCUGCCUGGAGGAGGCUCUCCCCUCAGAGGCAACUCCCUUAGGACCACAGUAGAGCAUCAAGGCCAGCAGAUGGUAGGGUAUCCAGUGCACACAACUGAGGAUUCCUCUCCUGCCAGCCCUUACACUGAAUCUGUGAAUGAGGCUGUUCUGAGAUUACCACCAUAUCAAGCUUGGGCAUCCUUUUUUACACUCAGCUCUGUUUCUAGCUCAUUUUGCCUCUCACAGUGCAACUAGAGCAAACUCCGUAUGCUGCUUUCACCAUGCCUUAAGGAAAUCCUCCACAGCCCUGCAUAUCUGCCCACUGAAGUCUACUAAGGUCAGCCACGGUAGGGAAUGAGAUCUGCUUCUUCCUCCACUCAUGUGCACCUUAGCUUUGCAGCCCCCCUCCCCUGCUGCCUUCUUUGGGUGCUCGGUAAAAUGCCGACUCCAGUUCACCAUAAAUUUCCACCCCUUGAUCACAGAAACGUCCCCACUCAUAGACCGAUGCCCUGUUUAUCAUAAGGGCUCACUAAAUAUUUGUUAAAUGAGUGAAUGAAAUUAUUUUCCCAGCUAACAUGAUUAUCCCUUCCUGUGCUAUCUCACCAAGGAUACACUGAAAGACUUAAAUCUCCUUCCAUGUUUUUCAAAAAUGUUCUUCUUUUUGUUAAUGAGAAACAUCUGAAUAAGGAUUCUUAUGAUUUGUUAUAUUUUAUGUUUUUUUUUAACUUAUGUAUUUAUUUGCUAUGUUGAGGGUUGAACCCAUCGCCUCCAGCUUGUUAGGCAAAUCCUCUUCCGCGGAACAACAUCCCCAUGCCCAAAACUUGCUAUGUUUUAAAGUUGCCAUCUGUCAAGUCAGGGUUUUAAAUGUUUAUGAAGCAAUUGCAUUUAACUCUGCUAUUCAAAGAUAAUAACAGAAUUUAUAGAAAUAUCAUUCUUAGUGUUGGGACACCAACUUAACAUAGGGUGGCAAAUGACUCUUUGCUCUGGCCAGUUGAUGCCUAGCUGCGACAAAAGUAUUAAGGCAUCAGAGGCUCCUCCCGCAUGGGACCCAGAGACUGAGGCUCUGCUAUCUGCCGCAAGCUGUAAGACACUACAUGCUUGUAUUCCCUUCCUUCCUAUCAAGGUACUCACCAUACGCCCAACCUGGCCUUCAAAGAUUCAACCCAGUCCUCCCCUCCCAUGCUUUCAUAGGACUCCCUAGGCACAAAAUUUUUCUCAUUGGUGAAACUUCCCAUAACAAUUUCACAUGUUAAGAUAUGAUUUGUCCUAUGCAUGUUUGGUGUACUGGUCUUCACUGGUUUAUGAGAGAAGGGUCCAUCAUCCAUCUCUGUGAGCUCAGUCUGCCUCCUGCUUUGUAGCACUGAAUGCCCACAGAUGCUCACAACGUACUUUCUUGAAUAAAUAAACAGCUCUGUCAAUGCAGGUAGACAUAACAGAUGGCUGGCGUGUUGGCAUGAGGCAUGAGGCUGCCUGGCCCGUUAGCAAAGCGGGCGAGAGGGGCAGUUCGCAUCUGUUGGAGGGUUA